AGGUGGAGACGGCGGCCUGUGCAAGCUCCGGACGCUCGGGAGGCCUAGGCUUGAGUCCCGUGAGCUUCGCGGCUGGGCCGGGUACCUGCGGCCACCUGCGGAUCACAGGCCCGCGCGCUGGCGGCCGCCUGUCCCGGACGCAGGUGUGCGUGUGUGUAAGGGGUGGUGCGCCUCGAACGCUCUGCUCCGCCCGCUCCGUCCUUUCCAGAGAAACGUACUCGUAAUGGGGUGACCUAAUUACAUCGCAAUGGAACUCGCUGGUAGCCACUCGGAGCACCGGGUUUCAUAACAGACCCGGCGGCCUCGAAUGCUGGGAAGAAACGUGCGAGGCCUGGGCGGUGCGGCCCGCGAUUUCCGCCCGGGUCUCCACUGCAGCACGCGAGCCGGUGCGGGUGGGAGGCAGCCAGACCUAAUAGUAAAUAAACACAUAGUUCGUGGUUUUAAA
rnacentral:lncRNA from 1 species